AACGAACGCUGGCGGCAUGCCUAACACAUGCAAGUCGAACGAAGCCUUCGGGCUUAGUGGCGCACGGGUGCGUAACGCGUGGGAAUCUGCCCUUGGGUUCGGAAUAACAGUUAGAAAUGACUGCUAAUACCGAAUGAUGUCUUCGGACCAAAGAUUUAUCGCCCAAGGAUGAGCCCGCGUCGGAUUAGCUAGUUGGUGAGGUAAAGGCUCACCAAGGCGACGAUCCGUAGCUGGUCUGGGAGGAUGAUCAGCCACACUGGGACUGAGACACGGCCCAGACUCCUACGGGAGGCAGCAGUGGGGAAUAUUGGACAAUGGGCGAAAGCCUGAUCCAGCAAUGCCGCGUGAGUGAUGAAGGCCUUAGGGUUGUAAAGCUCUUUUGGCGGGGACGAUGAUGACGGUACCGCAGAAUAACGCCCGGCUAACUUCGUGCCAGCAGCCG
rnacentral:rRNA from 1 species